rnacentral:rRNA from 1 species
ACGUAGGGGGCAAGCGUUAUCCGGAAUUAUUGGGCGUAAAGAGUGCGUAGGUGGUUUUUUAAGCGUGAGGUGAAAGGCAAUAGCUUAACUAUUGUAAGCCUUGCGAACUGGAAGACUUGAGUGCAGGAGAGGAAGGUGGAAUUCCUGGUGUAGCGGUGAAAUGCGUAGAGAUCUGGAGGAAUACCAGUGGCGAAGGCGGCCACCUGGACUAAGACUGACGCUCAGGUGCGAAAGCGUGGGGAGCAAACAG